rfam:Solanum lycopersicum cultivar Heinz 1706 chromosome 7, whole genome shotgun sequence.
UUUUCAUCAGGGACAUUCGAUAAAAUUAAAACGAUACAUAAAAUAUUAGCACGAUCUUUACGCAAGAAUGACACAAAAAUCGAGAAGUAUAUAUACUAUUGUU